AGGGAAUCUUCCACAAUGGACGAAAGUCUGAUGGAGCAACGCCGCGUGAGUGAAGAAGGUUUUAGGAUCGUAAAACUCUGUUGUUGGAGAAGAACAGGGACUAGAGUAACUGUUAGUCCUUUGACGGUAUCCAACCAGAAAGCCACGGCUAACUACGUGCCAGCAGCCGCGGUAAUACGUAGGUGGCAAGCGUUGUCCGGAUUUAUUGGGCGUAAAGCGAGCGCAGGCGGUUUUUUAAGUCUGAUGUGAAAGCCUUCGGCUUAACCGAAGAAGUGCAUUAGAAACUGGGAAACUUGAGUGCAGAAGAGGACAGUGGAACUCCAUGUGUAGCGGUGAAAUGCGUAGAUAUAUGGAAGAACACCAGUGGCGAAGGCGGCUGUCUGGUCUGUAACUGACGCUGAGGCUCGAAAGUAUGGGGAGCGAACA
rnacentral:rRNA from 1 species